UAAAGAGCCAUAUGGUAGCAAUCAAAGCAUUUUCCAUUAAUAAGCCGAAAAGUUAAACCUUUGUGAUAUGAGUUAUAACAUAAAAACUGUGGUUGUUUUAACGAUGGUGAAUCUGCUCUUUGGUUAUUUGCGAUGGUGUGGUGUGUUCCUGGUUCUGAAGGUGAGGAAUUUACAUGCAUUUGGUUGUGGCUGCACUUAGUUUAGAAUUACUGUGCAGUUUUGAUUUUGAGAGUUCAUUCACUGAAAAGUAGAAGCUGCAGUUCAUUCUCUGAUCAUAGAAACUGCUUCAUCAUUCAUCACACUGGACUGGGAUAAAUGUGGAUUAUAUUGUUGUCUAUAAUUAUUUUGGUGUCAUAUGGCUAAGUGCGGGAUUGCCUUGUGUAAAACUAACAGUAGAUAACUUGACGCAUGGUUAUUGCAGUCUGCCAUCGAGGGAGACAUGAAGCUGAGGGUGGUCAUCAUGGACAGCGAGGCUGCAGUGGUGACGGCGACGGAGAGGAGCACCGCCAAGGAGAAGCUCUAGGAACCUUGAAGAAAAUAAACUAGCAACUUAGGGAACAGAUAUUCCUUAGGAUCUUGUUCCCCACCAGAAGUUGCUUCAAGAAUCCCUAAAGAAGGAGCACCAGCUAAGAUGCGGAACACCUGCGGCCAGCGUCGAUGUGUUCGUGUUCGAAGACCUAACAGCGGCAGAGUGGAAGCGGUUAACGGAGGGAGCAGCGGCGGACGAAAAGGGAGCUGCGGUGGCGGACGCUCUCUCCGAGGAGCGGCGGCGCGCGGUCAUCCGGAUGGGAAGAUGUUGUCUUGAAUCAGACGUAUUUUGGAAAGUUGUAAAAUUGAACAGAGUAUCUGUAAAACGUGGCUUUAUCUGACCCCACCCUUAUAAUAUUGCUUAAUUAAUGUAAUAGCAACUAUAUGGUGAAGGUGGACGUUUGGUGGGUAGUUUUUUUUUUAA